UUAACAACAUCGAUAUUGCAUUGAGUUUAAUUAUCUGUUUAGUACGUGUGGGGUUUUAUAUAAAAGAAAUCGAUGUCAUUAGAAGUUGAGCAUUAAUUAUACGAGAUUUUCUAUUUUGUUAAGUUUUCGAUGUGGGAUUGUGUGUAUUCUUCAAUAAUAAUUUGUAGUAAGGUUAAAAACUUAUAUUUAAGAAAAUAACGUUUCUCAUUAUCCAAACAAAAAUUGAAAAAGUUGAUGCUUUCUUCAUUUUUAGUGGAGGCCUUUUGCUCUGCUUUUUCUCUUUUUUUUUUCUUUUAUCAUUGUGGAUGGCUCAUGAAAGAAAUUAAACUAAUUUAUAAUGCUUAAGAGCACAACAACAAGGCUUUCCACUUUUUAGUUUUUGUUUAUUUCAUUAUCCAAUAAAAAAGGUGUGACUAUUGUUGUGUCAAUACUAAUCAAGCCCCUCGAUUUACAACACGUGUAUUUGUUUUCUUGCAAUCGGAGGAUGUUCUUUCUUCCACGUCGUAUUCCUUUCCCUUGUUUGUCUUUUUAUUGAGCCCUUUCU
rnacentral:lncRNA from 1 species